rnacentral:rRNA from 1 species
CCUACGGGAGGCAGCAGUGAGGAAUAUUGGUCAAUGGUCGGGAGACUGAACCAGCCAAGCCGCGUGAGGGAUGAAGGUACAGAGUAUCGUAAACCUCUUUUGUCAGGGAACAAAGGCGGGGACGUGUCCCCGGAUGAGUGUACCUGAAGAAAAAGCAUCGGCUAACUCCGUGCCAGCAGCCGCGGUAAUACGGAGGAUGCGAGCGUUAUCCGGAUUUAUGGGGUUUAAAGGGUGCGCAGGCGGUCUGUUAAGUCAGCGGUCAAAGCCUGGGGUUCACCCCCGGCCCGCCGUUGAAACUGGCAGUCUCGAGUUGGAGAGAAGUAUGCGGAAUGCGCGGUGUAGCGGUGAAAUGCAUAGAUAUCGCGCAGAACUCCGAUUGCGAAGGCAGCAUGCCGGCUCCACACUGACGCUGAGGCACGAAAGCGUGGGUAUCGAACAGGAUUAGAUACCCCGGUAGUC